rnacentral:rRNA from 1 species
UUGGAGGGCAAGUCUGGUGCCAGCAGCCGCGGUAAUUCCAGCUCCAAUAGCGUAUAUUAAAGUUGUUGCAGUUAAAAAGCUCGUAGUUGAAUUUCGGGAUCAGUAGGUUGGUCAUGCCUAUGGUAUGUACUGGCUUUACUGGUUCCUCCUUCUUGAUGAUCUGUAAUGUCAUUAAUUUGGUGUUGCAGGGAGUCAGGACUGUUACUUUGAAAAAAUUAGAGUGUUUAAAGCAGGCAUACGCUUGAAUACAUUAGCAUGGAAUAAUGAAAUAGGACGUUCGAACCUAUUUUGUUGGUUUCUAGGAUUGACGUAAUGAUUAAUAGGGAUAGUUGGGGGCAUUAGUAUUCAAUUGUCAGAGGUGAAAUUCUUGGAUUUAUUGAAGACUAACUACUGCGAAAGCAUUUGCCAAGGAUGUUUUCAUUAAUCAAGAACGAAAGUUAGGGGAUCGAAGACGAUCAGAUACCGUCGUAGUCUUAACCAUAAACUAUGCCGACUAGGGAUCGGAUGAUGUUAUUUUUAAUGACUCAUUCGGCACCUUACGGGAAAC